GUGAGGAAUAAUGGAAACCAAAUAGUGCUACCGUUAAAUAUAUAUCCAACUUUUUACAAAUGCAGGAAAAGUGAUGAGGUAUUACAGAGGUUUUACAAGAAUAACAAAUUUGUUCAUAUUAAUUCUAUCUCCACUCAUAUUACAUGAAGGAAACGUGAGAAUUCCAAAGAGUUAUAUUUUGAUUAUUUACGUAUUUAAUUCCAAGGCUGAGAAUUUCAAAAGGAACCA
rnacentral:lncRNA from 1 species